CCUACGGGGGGCAGCAGUGGGGAAUAUUGCACAAUGGGGGAAACCCUGAUGCAGCGACGCCGCGUGAAGGAAGAAGUAUUUCGGUAUGUAAACUUCUAUCAGCAGGGAAGAAAAUGACGGUACCUGACUAAGAAGCCCCGGCUAACUACGUGCCAGCAGCCGCGGUAAUACGUAGGGGGCAAGCGUUAUCCGGAUUUACUGGGUGUAAAGGGAGCGUAGGCGGCGAUGCAAGUCUGAAGUGAAAGCCCGGGGCUCAACUCCGGGACUGCUUUUGAAACUG
rnacentral:rRNA from 1 species